rnacentral:rRNA from 1 species
CGAACGGGUGAGUAACACUGGGCAACCUGCCCAAAANAGGGGGAUAACACUUGGAAACAGGUGCUAAUACCGCAUAACCAUAGUUACCGCAUGGUAACUAUGUAAAAGGUGGCUAUGCUACCGCUUUUGGAUGGGCCCGCGGCGCAUUAGCUAGUUGGUGGGGUAAAGGCUUACCAAGGCAAUGAUGCGUAGCCGAACUGAGAGGUUGAUCGGCCACAUUGGGACUGAGACACGGCCCAAACUCCUACGGGAGGCAGCAG